GCCGAGGUGGAGAAACCGGAAGACUCGCUACCUUGAGGUGGUAGUGCCAGCAAUGGCGUGCGGGUUCAAAUCCCGCCCUCGGCA
rnacentral:tRNA from 1 species